rnacentral:rRNA from 1 species
UGUGGCUGGGGGUGAAAGGCCAAUCAAACCGGGAGAUAGCUGGUUCUCCCCGAAAGCUAUUUAGGUAGCGCCUCGUGAAUUCAUCUCCGGGGGUAGAGCACUGUUUCGGCAAGGGGGUCAUCCCGACUUACCAACCCGAUGCAAACUGCGAAUACCGGAGAAUGUUAUCACGGGAGACACACGGCGGGUGCUAACGUCCGUCGUGAAGAGGGAAACAACCCAGACCGCCAGCUAAGGUCCCAAAGUCAUGGUUAAGUGGGAAACGAUGUGGGAAGGCCCAGACAGCCAGGAUGUUGGCUUAGAAGCAGCCAUCAUUUAAAGAAAGCGUAAUAGCUCACUGGUCGAGUCGGCCUGCGCGGAAGAUGUAACGGGGCUAAACCAUGCACCGAAGCUGCGGCAGCGACGCUGAUGCGUUGUUGGGUAGGGGAGCGUUCUGUAAGCCUGUGAAGGUGUGCUGUGAGGUAUGCUGGAGGUAUCAGAAGUGCGAAUGCUGACAUAAGUAACGAUAAAGCGGGUGAAAAGCCCGCUCGCCGGAAGACCAAGGGUUCCUGUCCAACGUUAAUCGGGGCAGGGUGAGUCGACCCCUAAGGCGAGGCCGAAAGGCGUAGUCGAUGGGAAACAGGUUAAUAUUCCUGUACUUGGUGUUACUGCGAAGGGGGGACGGAGAAGGCUAUGUUGGCCGGGCGACGGUUGUCCCGGUUUAAGCGUGUAGGCUGGUUUUCCAGGCAAAUCCGGAAAAUCAAGGCUGAGGCGUGAUGACGAGGCACUACGGUGCUGAAGCAACAAAUGCCCUGCUUCCAGGAAAAGCCUCUAAGCAUCAGGUAACAUCAAAUCGUACCCCAAACCGACACAGGUGGUCAGGUAGAGAAUACCAAGGCGCUUGAGAGAACUCGGGUGAAGGAACUAGGCAAAAUGGUGCCGUAACUUCGGGAGAAGGCACGCUGAUAUGUAGGUGAAGCGACUUGCUCGUGGAGCUGAAAUCAGUCGAAGAUACCAGCUGGCUGCAACUGUUUAUUAAAAACACAGCACUGUGCAAACACGAAAGUGGACGUAUACGGUGUGACGCCUGCCCGGUGCCGGAAGGUUAAUUGAUGGGGUCAGCGCAAGCGAAGCUCUUGAUCGAAGCCCCGGUAAACGGCGGCCGUAACUAUAACGGUCCUAAGGUAGCGAAAUUCCUUGUCGGGUAAGUUCCGACCUGCACGAAUGGCGUAAUGAUGGCCAGGCUGUCUCCACCCGAGACUCAGUGAAAUUGAACUCGCUGUGAAGAUGCAGUGUACCCGCGGCAAGACGGAAAGACCCCGUGAACCUUUACUAUAGCUUGACACUGAACAUUGAGCCUUGAUGUGUAGGAUAGGUGGGAGGCUUUGAAGUGUGGACGCCAGUCUGCAUGGAGCCGACCUUGAAAUACCACCCUUUAAUGUUUGAUGUUCUAACGUUGACCCGUAAUCCGGGUUGCGGACAGUGUCUGGUGGGUAGUUUGACUGGGGCGGUCUCCUCCUAAAGAGUAACGGAGGAGCACGAAGGUUGGCUAAUCCUGGUCGGACAUCAGGAGGUUAGUGCAAUGGCAUAAGCCAGCUUGACUGCGAGCGUGACGGCGCGAGCAGGUGCGAAAGCAGGUCAUAGUGAUCCGGUGGUUCUGAAUGGAAGGGCCAUCGCUCAACGGAUAAAA